rnacentral:rRNA from 1 species
AGAGUUUGAUUAUGGCUCAGGAUGAACGCUGGCGGCGUGCUUAACACAUGCAAGUCGAACGGGCUCAUAUUGAAACCUAGUGAUGUAUGAGUUAGUGGCGGACGGGUGAGUAACGCGUGGAGAACCUGCCGUAUACUGGGGGAUAACACUUAGAAAUAGGUGCUAAUACCGCAUAAGCGCACAGCUUCGCAUGAAGCAGUGUGAAAAACUCCGGUGGUAUACGAUGGAUCCGCGUCUGAUUAGCUGGUUGGCGGGGUAACAGCCCACCAAGGCGACGAUCAGUAGCCGGCCUGAGAGGGUGAACGGCCACAUUGGGACUGAGACACGGCCCAAACUCCUACGGGAGGCAGCAGUGGGGAAUAUUGCACAAUGGGGGAAACCCUGAUGCAGCGACGCCGCGUGAGUGAAGAAGUAUUUCGGUAUGUAAAGCUCUAUCAGCAGGGAAGAAAAUGACGGUACCUGACUAAGAAGCCCCGGCUAACUACGUGCCAGCAGCCGCGGUAAUACGUAGGGGGCAAGCGUUAUCCGGAUUUACUGGGUG